AGCCAUGUGGUGAGCACAAAGCGAACUAUUCUUUCGCCUUUUACUAAAGAAUACCGUGUGCUCUCCACGCUAAGUGGCAUACGCCUAUUUUUGGAGGGUCUCACUUUCGAGUGGGCC
rnacentral:snRNA from 1 species